UACUUCUCUUGGCUGGCUGGGAUUAUUCGUGUAUCAGUAUGGGACGUGGUAUCUGUGAAAAAGGCCAUCAGGAAGUCGAAUUUAUAGUCGCUGGGAUUUGCGGACUGAUGCAUGCUUGGAAAGCAUGGAGGUAAACCAAGCCAACAACCAUGACCCUGAUACAGCAGUGCAGGGCCUGCAUUUGCCGGGACGUGAAGUGGAGCACAUGCCAGUGUCUGUGCCGCUGGCCAGCAGCCAGGGCCCACUGGGUGGUCCCAUCACUUCCCACCACCUAUCGGCGAGCCUGAGCUCGGAGUCGGCGCGGCACGAGGUGGACGCUCUGGCCGAGUGCCGGCCGCACCCGCUGGCGCCACACCCGCCACCG